rnacentral:snoRNA from 1 species
AGCCCAUGAUGAAGACAAUGCCAAAGUAAUUCUUUGUAUUUUUCCCAAGCCUCGUACAAUAAUUCAGAAUCUUGCUAAAUGAAUAAUGCAAUAUCAUUCCUCAUUUU